rnacentral:lncRNA from 13 species
UACUAUCACAGGUACUAUCACAGGUACCAUCACAGGUACCAUCACAGGUACCAUCACAGGAGUAUGAAUCCAAUAACAGGCCACUGACGUUAGCACUUUGAAUAUAAUGGUAUCAAUUCAGACAGACACAGACAGUCAGUCAGUCAGAUAGUCAGCCAGCCAGUCAGAUAG